ACCCGUAGGAGAAGAUAUUCCGUGAGUAGUGGCGAGCGAAAGCGGAUGAUGGUUAAACCGUGUGCGUGUGAUACUCGGCAGGGGUUGCGUGUGCGGGGUUGUGGGGCUGUCCUGUUGGUCUUCUGCCGGAGACCGGGCGCGUGUGCUGAUCUGUAGCUGAAUCGUCUGGGAAGGCGUGGCGUAGUGGGUGAUACCCCCGUAGGCGGAACUGGUUGGUGCGUGUCUGGGGUGGUGCCCGAGUAGCACGGGGCUCGUGGAAUCCUGUGUGAAUCUGCCAAGACCACUUGGCUGCCUGAAUACCUCCUGAUGACCGAUAGUGGAUAGUACCGUGAGGGAAUGGUGAAAAGUACCCCGGGAGGGGAGUGAAAUAGUACCUGAAACCGGGCGCUUGCAAGCCGUCAGAGCCUUUGCAUGCCUUGUGUGUGUGGGGGUGGUGGCGUGCCUUUUGAAGAAUGAGCCUGCGAGUCAGUGGCGUGUCGCGAGGUUAACCCGUGUGGGGUAGCCGUAGCGAGAGCGAGUCCGAACAGGGCGAGUGUAGUGGCGCGUUCUGGACCCGAAGCGGGGUGAUCUACCCAUGGCCAGGUUGAAGCACGUGUAAGAGCGUGUGGAGGACCGAACCCACCUAGGUUGAAAACUGGGGGGAUGAGCUGUGGGUAGGGGUGAAAGGCCAAUCAAACUCCGUGAUAGCUGGUUCUCCCCGAAAUGCAUUUAGGUGCAGCGUCGCGUGUUGCCCGGCGGAGGUAGAGCUACUGGGUGGCUGAUGGGCCCCACAGGGUUACUGACGUCAACCAAACUCCGAAUGCCGUCGGGUUGUAGCGUGGCAGUGAGACCGCGGGGGAUAAGCUCCGUGGUCGAGAGGGAAACAGCCCAGAUCGCCGGCUAAGGCCCCUAAGCGUGUGCUAAGUGGGAAAGGAUGUGCGGUCGCGCAGACAACCAGGAGGUUGGCUUAGAAGCAGCCAUCCUUGAAAGAGUGCGUAAUAGCUCACUGGUCAAGUGAUCGUGCGCCGACAAUGUAGCGGGGCUCAAGCACACCGCCGAAGCCGCGGACCCACAGCGUUUGUUCCCUUCGUCGUCCCACGUUGCUGGGGUGGUGGCAGGGGUUGUGGGUGGUAGGGGAGCGUCCUGCACCGGGGGAAGCCUGUGGGUGACUGCUGGUGGACGGUGCGGGAGUGAGAAUGCAGGCAUGAGUAGCGAUACUAGGGUGAGAAGCCCUAGCGCCGAAUGACCAAGGGUUCCAGGGCCAGGCUAGUCCGCCCUGGGUGAGUCGGGACCUAAGGCGAGGCCGACAGGCGUAGUCGAUGGAUGACGGGUUGAUAUUCCCGUACCGGCGAAGCACCGCCCAUGCUGACGCGCGGGUGCUAACCCACGCCGUGCCGCCAUAUAGGCCGCGCCUACUCCUUUCGGGGGGUGGUGUGGUUGUGGUGGUGGGGUCUGGGGAUCCUCCGUGCAGGUAGGCAAGCGUGUUAACAGGGGUGACGCACAGUGGUAGCCCGGCGGACCUGAUGGCUUGGUCCGUUCAAGCGCGCAGCCCGUCCUCCAGGUAAAUCCGGGGGGCUGUCUUUGAUGACGGGGGUGAGGCGUGAUGGUGACCUCACGUUGGUGGGGGAUAGCAGGGUGAUCCUGGGGUGCCGAGAAAAGCCUCGACGCGAUGGUGCCAGCCGCCCGUACCCUAAACCGACACAGGUGGUCGGGCAGAGUAUGCCUAGGCGCACGAGUGAAUCAUGGUUAAGGAACUCGGCAAAAUGCCCCCGUAACUUCGGGAGAAGGGGGGCCUGAUCCCUGAAACAGCUGGCCUGUUAGGGGGGAGGGUCGCAGAGACCAGGGGGAAGCGACUGUUUACUAAAAACACAGGUCCGUGCGAAGCCGUAAGGCGAUGUAUACGGACUGACGCCUGCCCGGUGCUGGAAGGUUAAGAGGAACCAUCAACCCCCUUUAUUGUGGGGGUGAAGUGGUGAAUUUAAGCCCCAGUAAACGGCGGUGGUAACUAUAACCAUCCUAAGGUAGCGAAAUUCCUUGUCGGGUAAGUUCCGACCUGCACGAAUGGCGUAACGACUUCCCCGCUGUCUCAACCAUGAGCUCGGCGAAAUUGCAGUACGAGUAAAGAUGCUCGUUUCGCGCAGAAGGACGGAAAGACCCCGGGACCUUUACUACAGCUUGGUAUUGGCGCCCGCUAUAGCUUGUGCAGGAUAGGUGGGAGACUGUGAAGCCGUCACGCCAGUGGUGGUGGAGUCGUCCUUGAAAUACCACUCUGGUUAUGGCGUGCGCCUGAACCUGGGCCCGUGAUCCGGGUUAGGGACAGUGCCUGGUGGGUAGUUUAACUGGGGCGGU
rnacentral:rRNA from 1 species